rnacentral:lncRNA from 1 species
UGGGCUGCUCAAACCAGACACUCUACCCUGUGCAAUGAGCCUAGGCAUCGCACAGAGUUGCCUAUUAUACAGGCUUCUCUGGGAGGUACGUUGUCCUGCAUAAGGGUUGCCUGCCCUAGUCUCCCUUUCCCAGAAAAACGGCAGAGGACAGGUCGAGAGUGCUUCGGGUCAAGCUAACAGCCUAGUUGCGACUCCCGUACACAGUCUUAAUGUUUGAUUUUGGGAAGGUUCAACCUCUGCCUCUAUCCCUCAACAUAUGGGUGACCUAUUUGCUUGUAAAAAUAUAAAGCCUUAUCAUUAAUUAAUAAAAAAAGGGGGAUCUGUAGGGAGCCGUCCCUGCAUUCUCCAUUACAAGAUGGCGCCUGCAUCCGGCAGGCACCGAAUGUAAACAAGAUUAUUGCGCAGGCGCUGGGUAAAUUUCCAUUCCUUGAUCUCUGCCUAUUCCGUGGCGUCAUAUGGCCGGAUGAGCUACAGCCAAUCAUAGGGUGACACGUCCCAGGCGGCGGCUGCCAGCCUUUAUUAGGGGACGGGAUUCUUGGCUCAGUGUCUCCGCUCUGGUAAGCUUAUGCUCUCCUCUCAAGAUGCAUUAAAGCUUGUCUGCAGAAG